rnacentral:sRNA from 1 species
ACCAGAAAUCUGUAUUCUUGGCUAUGCCCUGCAGAGAAUCAAAGGAGCUUCUGGGAAACGACGAUUCCGACUCCCAGUGAGAGGGUGCAUUUUAGGCAGUCCCCACCUCCCCUUCCAAAAUGCACACUCAUGCUCACAGACACAACAGUGAACUUUAAGCUGUGUUCUUUAAAAAUUAUUUAAAUGCUGACGGAAAAUAAGCACAAAGAAGGAUAUUGUUUCUUUCCCAAGAGGAAGUAUGCGAUACUCCGUAUGGCACAUGAUGUGCUGGACCCUUUCAGGCAAGGCAAAGAGAAAAAAUGAACGAAGAACAUAAUAAACGUUUAUCAGACACUGUUGACAAGCUGCUUUCAGAAUCUAAUGAGAGGCUUCAACUUCAUCUUAAAGAGAGAAUGGCUGCUUUGGAAGAUAAGAACUCUCUUUUAAGAGAAGUUGAAAGUGCAAAAAAGCAGUUAGAAGAAACACAACACGAUAAGGAUCAGCUUGUCCUAAACAUUGAAGCAUUGAGGGCUGAACUAGACCAGAUGAGACUAAGAGGUGCUUCACUUCAUCAUGGCCGACCCCACUUGGGCAGUGUCCCAGAUUUC